rnacentral:rRNA from 1 species
CCUACGGGUGGCUGCAGUGGGGAAUUUUCCACAAUGGGCGAAAGCCUGAUGGAGCAACGCCGCGUGUGUGAUGAAGGUCUUCGGAUCGUAAAGCACUUUCGACUGGGACGAAAAACCUUUGGCUAACAUCCAGGGGCCUGACGGUACCAGGAGAAGAAGCACCGGCUAACUCUGUGCCAGCAGCCGCGGUAAUACAGAGGGUGCAAGCGUUGUUCGGAAUUAUUGGGCGUAAAGCGCGUGUAGGCGGCUUGGCAAGUCAGAUGUGAAAGCCCUCG